GGUCCAAGACCAGAAAUCAACCCCACACCCUGGCCCUCAGACUUAAGCACAUCGCGCACAGUCACAAAAACCAAAAGAGUGAGCUGGUGUGUGUCCGUUUUGCCUAAAUCACGUG
rnacentral:lncRNA from 1 species